rnacentral:misc_RNA from 1 species
UCUCCGUAGGUGAACCUGCGGAGGGAUCAUUACCGAGUGCAAACUCAUAACCCUUUGUGAACCUAUAUCUGUUGCUUCGGCGGCUCGCUCUCGGGCGAGCCCGCCGGUAAUAUCAGUAUCUCUGUUUGAACCCGACGAUACUUCUGAGUGUUCUUAGCGAACAGUUAAAACUUUUAACAACGGAUCUCUUGGCUCUA